GAUCAGCAUCGCUGGGGAAUGGAAUACCAUUCAUCGGAACUCCCGGCACAAGGCUUGCAAAGGUGAUUUCCCUUUC
rnacentral:ncRNA from 2 species